UACGAAGGGGGCUAGUGUUGUUCGGAAUCACUGGGCGUAAAGCGUACGUAGGCGGACCAUUAAGUCGGGGGUGAAAUCCCAGGGCUCAACCCUGGAACUGCCUUCGAUACUGGUGGUCUGGAGUCCGGGAGAGGUGAGUGGAACUCCUAGUGUAGAGGUGAAAUUCGUAGAUAUUAGGAAGAACACCAGUGGCGAAGGCGGCUCACUGGCCCGGUACUGACGCUGAGGUACGAAAGCGUGGGGAGCAAACAGG
rnacentral:rRNA from 1 species